rnacentral:lncRNA from 1 species
GUAGAUUCCAUAGUAUGGUUAAAAAAACUCACUAAAGAGAAAUAAUAAUUAUCUCACUAUAGAUCUCAAACAAUACACUUAAAACAAUAAUAAUUAAAUAAGAAAAGUAUACAUUCAAAGAAUGUAACAAUAAUGAGUUUAGUUAGGUUCCAAAACAAAGGGAACAACAUAAUUACAACAUGAAUGUAACAACUAAUUGUCAGUAUAAGAAUUAUGCAACAUAAAUCCAAAGAAUACUCGAGCAGUGACCACUAAAACAUGAGAAGGCAUAAGUACAAAUACCCGAAUGAAAAUGGCCCAUCACUACCCACCAAAAAAUUGUUUAACUAAGAAUUUAACAAUCAGCAGACGAAGAAAUGUAAUCAAAGUCAACUUAGCUUUUGAUUGUGUCUAAACGGGCAAUCAAAUAUUACUUCUAAUUUGAAGUAGCUGAUUCAUAUUAUUAAUUUCUCAAGUCUCAAAGAAGUAGCUGAUUCAUAUUAUUAAUUUCUCAAGUCUCAAAAUCAUUCCAAUUUUAUACAGAAUCACAGACAUGAUUGCUAUAAAUUACAAUUAACAAUCAAAUGUUGAUGUUCACCGAGAAAAUGAGAGAGGCCUUUGAGACCCUUGGGAUCAGAAAAAGAUCCGAUAUAGACAUUCAUCGAAGCAGCACACUGAAAGAGCAAAUCAAAAAACAAAACAAUUCAUUAGGUUUUAUCAAUCGGAAAAAAGCCCUAAAAUUAGUAAAUUGAAACAAUUGGGGAGACCUUAUCAGUUUCUAAAGACCAAUUGAGAACUCAUGUCCACUAAAAUGGAGUUUCUUUUCAGGGCGAUCAAAACAUGGAUAGAGGAUUCUCAUUUUGGGAUGUACAAUAAAUGAAACUGAAGCCAACAAAAUAUUUUUUAAAAAAUAAAAAAUCUAUCAACGAACAAAUAACCUGUGAAAACAAAAAUUAAGCAUGGCACAGAGGAAAAACUCAGUCCGGUCAGAUUCAGGCUUGAGUAUACGUUGAUUUUUCUGAGAAUUGACCCCACAUAAAGUACUCGUGAUCAAAAUUAUUAACAUGACUGUAAUAAAAGAGAAAAAAUUACUCUACGAAAUAGUUAUAUAUUGAUUCUUAACAACAUUUAAGUUUCCUUGGUAAACCCUGGAACAAUAAUAAAUGCAUGAAAUUACAUCAACGUUAAACAUUAUGGAAAGAGCACUGAAUCAGGCAUUUCACCAUUCAGAUUACACCUGCAAUCAACUGUGAGUGUGAUAAAAAAGAAGAGCAAUGAGUGAUUGAUUUAUAGUGACUAAUAUUACAUUUGUGCCAAUUGAUGUUCAUUUUCAAACCACAAUGAACGCUCUCAAAAUUUCAAUGUCUUUCUACUCUCAGAAUACAUUUUUCUCCUCCUUAAUAAGCAAUACUCAAAAUACUUGCAGCAGUGACUGCAAUAAACUCAGCCUGGAUAUAGCCAAAUCCAUUCCAUCCUUUAUUGGUCACAUUGAGCACAUUUGCAAUCGAGUCCAUUCACUACUUGCAGAGACAUUAUUUCCAAAUGCAUCUUUAGGAAGUAUCAAAAUUGAGAACAUUAUACACAUUCCCAGAAACAAUGAAUCCACUUUAUAUUAUGACCCUAAUAAAACAAAGAAAAAUUGCAGAAAUUUUUUUCAUUCGAAAUCACACCAAAACAGAGAAAUGGACAACAGUUUGAAAAUAGGCAACUCUCAUUUUUCCAACACUACAAUUUAGCAUAUAUGGAUGUAGAAAGAUUAGAGAUUACCAACUACGCGUUCUUAAACAACGAAAUUAAACCCAAAACAAACAGCAUAAAUCCACAAAUCAAGGACCACCGGAUCGGCUGCCGUUGAGCCGGCGCCAGAGAACACCAUCUCAUGCACCAAUGCCAGCUUAAAAUUUGGUCAAACCAAAAUUCCUCCACUAUACCUCCAAUAUUUUUUCACACCCAUAGCAAACCCACUCACAGUCAACAAAUUCUCUCACUAAUCUCAUCUUCCACCUAAACAGAAUGCCACUGAAUGAGAUACAAAUGUGACCGUGAAGAAGACACUAAAACUUAAUAGAGAAAUGUUAUUUUCAGUCGGUAAAUUAUAGGCCCUUCACUUCAUGGUUAGCCCAAUAUCAUGGCUUAAACAACAACAACAAAAAAAAGAGAAAAAGAACAUAAACAAAAAUACCAAGAACAAAAUAACCAUCAAUAAAAACUAUAAAAUCGAAAUAAAUGCCUGAUGAACAAUUCUAAAGCUGUAAAACAGAAAAAAGGAUAAAACCUUUCGGUGUUUGGUAUUGAGUUAUUUGGAGACUCUGGCUUUCUCAUUCAUGGUAUUGAGUUUUUUGCUACAGUUUGUUAAUGUCAAAUCCCAUUGAAGAAAUUGUUAGAGACCCAAAUGAACAAUUAUAAAAGAGGGGGUAAAAUUUAUACUUGUAAAAGUAUAAUGGAUGUACUGUACCUUCAGUAACCUCCCCAAAGGAAGAAAAAGUAAAGCAACACAUCAACAAUGAUUUCUCGUCCAAAGCAAAGCAAAGUUUGUAAAUGUCAAUGAUUUCUUGUCCACUGAACAUGACAAACCUGUGAACCAAAGAAAAGUUCAAAGCAUAAUCUAAAUUAGAAUAUAGACAGAUUCAAACAUGACAUGAAAGAGAUGAGAAGGGGAGAGAUAAACCGGCAACAAAAAGCGGCGGAAGAAUUAGCCGUCAAUCGGUGUUCUCCAACAGUCAAUAAUUAGCCGUCGUCUGCGCACGGACGGAAGUGAGCACCAAUCAGAGCAUGAACAGAGAGUAGAGAACGGCGGAAGGGAUAAUUUUGAUUUGGGGGGUUUUGAAGGGAAGGAGACAGUAGAGUGCAAGGGAUUUUGAUUUGGGGGGCUUUUGAAAGGGAAUGAGACAGAAGAGUAUACGGGAAGGAACAAAUUUUGGUUUGGGCAGUUAAUUUUUUUUUUUGCUUUGUCUGUAAGAUGAAAUCUGGACCUUUGUUGUACUUUGAAGUGGGGAUAGAUUCAAAAAAAGUCCUGUUUUAUUAUAUAGAUAUGGUACCUUCAAAACCAAGAAAAGUAAAAGACUAUUUUCAAUUAGUUUAUGAAAUGUAUGUACUUCACUUUGGAGAAAUUCAUCAUAAUUACUCUAUGUCUAGAUGGGUUUUUUUCUCGGUUAAAUAUUUUUAACGCUCUUUUUGAAAAAAUCCACAUGUUUUUGUACUUUUAAUUUUCAUUGAAAAUAUAAUUAUAUUUUCUGUUAAGCCGGUUAUCAAAAUAUUAAAUCCUAAGACUAUUUUUUUGCUAGCUCCUCCAAUUUAUGCAUUCAUUUAUGAAAAAUACAUAAAUGAAUUUAGUUAGUAAACUAAACAAUCUGCACGCGUGCGGCUGGUAGGGGCGUGGUUUUUGGAAUUUAACUUUUAUCAUCUACUAAUAGUCUAUAAUAUAUACUGUUCACCAAACCAUCCCCACACCAUAAAAUAAAGGAAGCACAGGAGAGAGAAAGCAAGAAAAGAAAAUCAACCAUCUUCUUUACUUUACUUGUUCAAGCAGCCAUGGCAGGUUAUGUAAAAGAAGAAUCAAUCCCACCUCCACCUCCCAAGUUACUGAUAAGAAUCAUGAGCAAAAGAAGAACAUGGG